rnacentral:rRNA from 1 species
CCUACGGGAGGCAGCAGUGAGGAAUAUUGGUCAAUGGACGAGAGUCUGAACCAGCCAAGUAGCGUGAAGGAUGACUGCCCUAUGGGUUGUAAACUUCUUUUAUAUGGGAAUAAACUGUUCCACGUGUGGGAUUUUGUAUGUACCAUAUGAAUAAGGAUCGGCUAACUCCGUGCCAGCAGCCGCGGUAAUACGGAGGAUCCGAGCGUUAUCCGGAUUUAUUGGGUUUAAAGGGAGCGUAGGUGGAUUGUUAAGUCAGUUGUGAAAGUUUGCGGCUCAACCGUAAAAUUGCAGUUGAAACUGGCAGUCUUGAGUACGGUAGAGGUGGGCGGAAUUCGUGGUGUAGCGGUGAAAUGCUUAGAUAUCACGAAGAACUCCGAUUGCGAAGGCAGUUCACUGGACUGCAACUGACACUGAGGCUCGAAAGUGUGGGUAUCAAACAGGAUUAGAUACCCCUGUAGUC